rnacentral:SRP_RNA from 1 species
GCCAAGAAGUGCCAGCUACACAGGAGGCUAAGGUGGGAACAUCUCUUGAGUCUAGGCGUUCUGGAAUGUAGUGCACUAUGCUGAUCAGGUGUCUGCACUAAGUUCAGCAUCAACUUGGUGACCUCCCGGGAGUGGGGGGCCACCAGGUUGCCUAAGGAGGGGUGAACCGGCCCAGGUCAGAAAUGGAGCAGGUCAAAACCCCCUUACAUAUAGUCAGGAGUGGAGCCUGACUUGAACCCAAGAUUCAAAUGCUAGUUCUUUUCCCACCUCCU